AUUUUUUGUAUAUAUACUGCAUGAAAAAUGUUUACAUUAUGAGAAUUUCCCAGUUUGUCUGCUGUAUACAAUAGGAAGGAAGAAUUUGUGAAAGAUAAAAACCGUUGGAUUUCUUUUGGUUCUUCUUGUAUUGAAUGCGAUGAUUGCGACUUUUUCAAUGGUGGAAGCCACUCUAUGUAAGUUGUGCGAAGGUAAAGGUAUAUGCACCUUGUAUGGAAAAUGCAUGAAUAAUAAAUGUGUAUGCCCGGGUCGAAGUGAUUCCUCACACGACUACGAAAAUUAAUGAUCAGAAAAUAAGAAUGGUAAUAUAAAUGUACGCAGAAUUAAAAAUUAAAUAUGUUUAAAGGCAUAGUCUAUGUUUGCUUUUUAAAGA